ensembl:snoRNA
UCACGGCCCUCUCGAAGCUGUGUCUGUCUCGUUAUGUGGCUGAUGCGGUCAAAAAGGUGCCAAAAAUAACCUUUUCCCUUGACGGUCGCUGUCCAGUUGGUUCUCCCAUAACUGUCCAGCAACAAUUUUUGGGGAAAAACACGG